rnacentral:rRNA from 1 species
ACGAAGGGUGCAAGCGUUAAUCGGAAUUACUGGGCGUAAAGGGUGCGUAGGCGGUUCGUUAAGUCUGUCGUGAAAUCCCCGGGCUUAACCUGGGAAUUGCGCUUGAAACUAGCGGGCUUGAGUGUGGCAGAGGGGGGUGGAAUUCCACGUGUAGCAGUGAAAUGCGUAGAGAUGUGGAGGAACACCGAUGGCGAAGGCAGCCCCCUGGGUCAACACUGACGCUCAUGCACGAAAGCGUGGGGAGCGAACAGGA